rnacentral:rRNA from 1 species
AGAGUUUGAUCCUGGCUCAGGAUGAACGCUAGCGGCAGGCCUCAUACAUGCAAGUCGAGGGGCAACAGGACACUUCGGUGUUGCUGGCGACCGGCGCACGGGUGCGUAACACGUAUGCAAUCUGCCUUGUACUGGAGCAUAGCUCUCGGAAACGAGGAUUAAUACUCCAUAUUAUCUGAUUAGCGCAUGCUAGUCAGAUG